rnacentral:rRNA from 1 species
CAUGCAAGUCGAACGAGAGAUGAGGAGCUUGCUCUUCAAAUCGAGUGGCGAACGGGUGAGUAACGCGUGAGGAACCUGCCUCAAAGAGGGGGACAACAGUUGGAAACGACUGCUAAUACCGCAUAAGCCCACAGCUCGGCAUCGAGCAGAGGGAAAAGGAGUGAUCCGCUUUGAGAUGGCCUCGCGUCCGAUUAGCUAGUUGGUGAGGUAACGGCCCACCAAGGCGACGAUCGGUAGCCGGACUGAGAGGUUGAACGGCCACAUUGGGACUGAGACACGGCCCAGACUCCUACGGGAGGCAGCAGUGGGGAAUAUUGCACAAUGGGGGAAACCCUGAUGCAGCGACGCCGCGUGGAGGAAGAAGGUCUUCGGAUUGUAAACUCCUGUUGUUGAGGAAGAUAAUGACGGUACUCAACAAGGAAGUGACGGCUAACUACGUGCCAGCAGCCGCGGUAAAACGUAGGUCACAAGCGUUGUCCGGAAUUACUGGGUGUAAAGGGAGCGCAGGCGGGAGAACAAGUUGGAAGUGAAAUCCAUGGGCUCAACCCAUGAA